GAUGAACGCUGGCGGCGUGCUUAACACAUGCAAGUCGAACGAAGCGACUAUGAUUGAGAUUUCGGUUGAUUGAAUAGUUGACUUAGUGGCGGACGGGUGAGUAACGCGUGGGUAACCUGCCUCGUACAGGGGGAUAACAGUUAGAAAUGACUGCUAAUACCGCAUAACCCGCUAGGGUCGCAUGACCCAGACGGAAAAGAUUUAUCGGUACGAGAUGGACCCGCGUCUGAUUAGCUAGUUGGUGAGGUAACGGCCCACCAAGGCGACGAUCAGUAGCCGGCCUGAGAGGGUGAACGGCCACAUUGGGACUGAGACACGGCCCAAACUCCUACGGGAGGCAGCAGUGGGAAUAUUGCACAAUGGGGGAAACCCUGAUGCAGCAACGCCGCGUGAGUGAAGAAGUAUUUCGGUAUGUAAAGCUCUAUCAGCAGGGAAGAAAAUGACGGUACCUGACUAAGAAGCCCCGGCUAACUACGUG
rnacentral:rRNA from 1 species